rnacentral:misc_RNA from 1 species
GAUGAAGAACGUAGCGAAAUGCGAUAAGUAAUGUGAAUUGCAGAAUUCAGUGAAUCAUCGAAUCUUUGAACGCACCUUGCGCUCCUUGGUAUUCCGAGGAGCAUGCCUGUUUGAGUGUCAUGAAAUUCUCAACCUUUUCAGCUUUCUUUGUUGAUCAGGCUUGGAUGUGGGAGUAUGCGGGCUUCUCAGAAGUCGGCUCUCCUGAAAUGCAUUAGCGGGACCUUUGUUGCCUGGCUUUGGUGUGAUAAUUAUCUACGCCAUUGUAGUCAAGCAGCUUAAAAUGAGGUUGCAGCUUCUAACCGUCUCCCCUGAGACAACUUUUUGACAAUUUGACCUCAAAUCAGGUAGGACUACCCGCUGAACUUAAGCAUAUCAAUAAGCGGAGGA